CUUUUCCCCCUCACAAAACCUUUUGUUAGGAGGUAGCAAAGCACGUCUCCAGGCUGGUAGCUAGUUGUUCUGCAUCAUUUUGAGGUUAGGAGCCCAGUGGUGAAGUGAGGGAGGAAGGCAGGUUCCUCGGUGCGUGUGUGCAAGGUGAGAUUUCCCCUGGGAAGCGUGGCUGUGCGUGCAUCUGCUGGCAUUUCUGUCCGUAACAGAGCUCUGUUACUUUGUGUGCGAGGGAUGCUGGUGCUCCAGGCUCUGGCACUGUCCUGAGGGAAGGUCUCCUAAGCUCCUCGCCUGAAUUCAGCUGCCUAAGGGGUGGUUUGGAGGCGCUGCCCCAUCUCUGGCUGUGCUCAGCCCUUGCACGGAUCCAGCCGAGGCCUCCCGACCAGGUAUGAUCCAACCAGCUGGGGCUUGUGAACCGGGUGCCUCCAAACACAAGUUUUCAUUUAUUUAUUUAUUUAUUUAUUUAUUUUUUGCAGCUGGAUGCAAAACGUUGAAUACUAAAAUAAAAAAUAACAUUGCUCCUGGGAAAUCCUGCUACAACGACCCCCCCUCGCCUUCUUGCACCACCUCGGCUCCGUUCCCUGUUGUGCACGCCAAGCAAAUUGAGGAGAAAAGAAAUGCGCUUUGGCUCUAGGAGGAUUUGGAGAUGACAGUCCCCAUUCGCCUGGUGCGCUGGGAAAACCCACGGUGCAGCUCCCUGCUGGGGGCUGCUCAGCUCCGGCGCGAGCAACCGGUGGCUCUAAUUUCCCUUCCUGCCCUCCGAGGCUGAAUAGCAUUUCAUAAAAAUAACAGAAGAGACAACGAGACUCUCUCUGGGAAAAGAAAUAAUCCUGGGGAAAACAAAAGGGGUGCUGAAGGAGAUUUUCUGGAGAAAUGGGGCUUGGCGAGGGGCUCCCCUGCGAAUUGAUUUCCCUGCUCGGUGCCACCUUGCACAGGCCAUUUCACAAGCACCAGGAGGCUUCGGUGCUCCUGGUUUUCUCAAGCGUUUCCCAAGGUUUCUCUCUUCCAGCCUUGUUUUUUGAGAGGUUGAGGGUUGCUUUGUUUCUGUCGCUAGUUUUUGAGCCCAGCUCCUAACCUUCCUCCUGCCACGAGCAGCCCUUCCCUGCGUUUUGGCUGCAGAGCGCGUGGUUUUUCUCAAAGCGAAGCUUUUAUUUUUACCUGCAAAUCCUCCUGUAGGAAAGCAGAGCACGUGCAGGCUGCCGACGCAACCCCAGUGCCUCGUAACCCCAAAGCUGAGGGUAGGAAGUCAUCGCUGCCCGCUCGGGCGAUGCUGGUGGAUGCAUCCCCUGUGGAGGGAACGGUUUGCAUCGUGCAGCAACUUCCUUCGGAGCAGGACAGAGAUUAACAGCUCCUUUCUGCUGGGCUCAG
rnacentral:lncRNA from 1 species